rnacentral:rRNA from 1 species
AGUGAACGCUGGUGGUAGGCCUAACACAUGCAAGUCGAACGGCAGCACAGUAAGAGCUUGCUCUUACGGGUGGCGAGUGGCGGACGGGUGAGGAAUACAUCGGAAUCUACUUUUUCGUGGGGGAUAACGUAGGGAAACUUACGCUAAUACCGCAUACGACCUACGGGUGAAAGCAGGGGAUCUUCGGACCUUGCGCGAUUGAAUGAGCCGAUGUCGGGUUAGCUAGUUGGCGGGGUAAAGGCCCACCAAGGCGACGAUCCGUAGCUGGUCUGAGAGGAUGAUCAGCCACCCUGGAACUGAGACACGGUCCAGACUCCUACGGGAGGCAGCAGUGGGGAAUAUUGGACAAUGGGCGCAAGCCUGAUCCAGCCAUACCGCGUGGGUGAAGAAGGCCUUCGGGUUGUAAAGCCCUUUUGUUGGGAAAGAAAAGCAGCAGGUUAAUACCCCGCUGUUCUGACGGUACCCAAAGAAUAAGCACCGGCUAACUUCGUG